rnacentral:rRNA from 4 species
GGGUUGUGAGGUUAAGCGACUAAGCGUACACGGUGGAUGCCCUGGCAGUCAGAGGCGAUGAAGGGCGUGCUAAUCUGCGAUAAGCGCCGGUAAGGUGAUAUGAACCGUUAUAACCGGCGAUACCCGAAUGGGGAAACCCAGUGUGAUUCGUCACACUAUCAUUAACUGAAUCCAUAGGUUAAUGAGGCGAACCGGGGGAACUGAAACAUCUAAGUACCCCGAGGAAAAGAAAUCAACCGAGAUUCCCCCAGUAGCGGCGAGCGAACGGGGAGGAGCCCAGAGCCUGAAUCAGCAUGUGUGUUAGUGGAAGCGUCUGGAAAGGCGCGCGAUACAGGGUGACAGCCCCGUACACAAAAGCGCAUAUGCUGUGAGCUCGAUGAGUAGGGCGGGACACGUGGUAUCCUGUCUGAAUAUGGGGGGACCAUCCUCCAAGGCUAAAUACUCCUGACUGACCGAUAGUGAACCAGUACCGUGAGGGAAAGGCGAAAAGAACCCCGGCGAGGGGAGUGAAAAAGAACCUGAAACCGUGUACGUACAAGCAGUGGGAGCCCCACCACUAAGCCAGUGGUGAACUCCACAUACGCAUCCUUUGCUGAGGAGACGGUUAACGGAGCGAAAGCGACGUUCAACCUCAAAAGAAGCAGAGGGGGCUUAGUGGUGGGGUGACUGCGUACCUUUUGUAUAAUGGGUCAGCGACUUAUAUUCUGUAGCAAGGUUAACUGUAUAGGGGAGCCGGAGGGAAACCGAGUCUUAACCGGGCGUUAAGUUGCAGGGUAUAGACCCGAAACCCGGUGAUCUAGCCAUGGGCAGGUUGAAGGUUGGGUAACACUAACUGGAGGACCGAACCGACUAAUGUUGAAAAAUUAGCGGAUGACCUGUGGCUGGGGGUGAAAGGCCAAUCAAACCGGGAGAUAGCUGGUUCUCCCCGAAAGCUAUUUAGGUAGCGCCUCGUGAAUUCAUCUCCGGGGGUAGAGCACUGUUUCGGCUAGGGGGCCAUCCCGGCUUACCAACCCGAUGCAAACUGCGAAUACCGGAGAAUGUUAUCACGGGAGACACACGGCGGGUGCUAAUGUCCGUCGUGAAGAGGGAAACAACCCAGACCGCCAGCUAAGGUCCCAAAGUCAUGGUUAAGUGGGAAACGAUGUGGGAAGGCCCAGACAGCCAGGAUGUUGGCUUAGAAGCAGCCAUCAUUUAAAGAAAGCGUAAUAGCUCACUGGUCGAGUCGGCCUGCGCGGAAGAUGUAACGGGGCUAAACCAUGCACCGAAGCUGCGGCAGCGACACCGUGUGUUGUUGGGUAGGGGAGCGUUCUGUAAGCCUGUGAAGGUGUGCUGUGAGGCAUGCUGGAGGUAUCAGAAGUGCGAAUGCUGACAUAAGUAACGAUAAAGCGGGUGAAAAGCCCGCUCGCCGGAAGACCAAGGGUUCCUGUCCAACGUUAAUCGGGGCAGGGUGAGUCGACCCCUAAGGCGAGGCCGAAAGGCGUAGUCGAUGGGAAACGGGUUAAUAUUCCCGUACUUGGUGUUACUGCGAAGGGGGGACGGAGAAGGCUAUGUUGGCCGGGCGACGGUUGUCCCGGUUUAAGCGUGUAGGUAUGUGUUCCAGGUAAAUCCGGUUCACUUUAACACUGAGGCGUGACGACGAGGCACUACGGUGCUGAAGCAACAAAUGCCCUGCUUCCAGGAAAAGCCUCUAAGCAUCAGGUAACAUCAAAUCGUACCCCAAACCGACACAGGUGGUCAGGUAGAGAAUACCAAGGCGCUUGAGAGAACUCG